UACGGAGGGUGCAAGCGUUAAUCGGAAUUACUGGGCGUAAAGCGCGCGUAGGCGGCUUUGCAAGUCGAGUGUGAAAUCCCCAGGCUCAACCUGGGAACUGCAUUCGAGACUGCAUAGCUAGAGUAUGGGAGAGGGAAGUGGAAUUUCAGGUGUAGCGGUGAAAUGCGUAGAUAUCUGAAGGAACAUCAGUGGCGAAAGCGACUUCCUGGACCAAUACUGACGCUCAUGUGCGAAAGCGUGGGGAGCAAACAGG
rnacentral:rRNA from 1 species